AACGAACGCUGGCGGCAGGCUUAACACAUGCAAGUCGAGCGCUGUAGCAAUACAGAGCGGCAGACGGGUGAGUAACACGUGGGAACAUACCCAUCUCUGCGGAACAACUCCGGGAAACUGGAGCUAAUACCGCAUACGCCCUAUGGGGGAAAGAUUUAUCGGAGAUGGAUUGGCCCGCGUUGGAUUAGCUAGUUUGUGGGGUAAAGGCCUACCAAGGCGACGAUCCAUAGCUGGUCUGAGAGGAUGAUCAGCCACAUUGGGACUGAGACACGGCCCAAACUCCUACGGGAGGCAGCAGUGGGGAAUAUUGGACAAUGGGCGCAAGCCUGAUCCAGCCAUGCCGCGUGAGUGAUGAAGGCCUUAGGGUUGUAAAGCUCUUUCACCGGGGAAGAUAAUGACGGUACCCGGAGAAGAAGCCCCGGCUAACUUCGUGCCAGCAGCCGCCGUAACAC
rnacentral:rRNA from 1 species